rnacentral:rRNA from 1 species
UUACCAUGCAAGUCGAGCGGGGGAAGGUAGCUUGCGUACUGGACCUAGCGGCGGACGGGUGAGUAAUGCUUAGGAAUCUGCCUAUUAGUGGGGGACAACAUCUCGAAAGGGAUGCUAAUACCGCAUACGUCCUACGGGAGAAAGCAGGGGAUCUUCGGACCUUGCGCUAAUAGAUGAGCCUAAGUCGGAUUAGCUAGUUGGUGGGGUAAAGGCCUACCAAGGCGACGAUCUGUAGCGGGUCUGAGAGGAUGAUCCGCCACACUGGGACUGAGACACGGCCCAGACUCCUACGGGAGGCAGCAGUGGGGAAUAUUGGACAAUGGGGGGAACCCUGAUCCAGCCAUGCCGCGUGUGUGAAGAAGGCCUUAUGGUUGUAAAGCACUUUAAGCGAGGAGGAGGCUACUCUAGUUAAUACCUAGGGAUAGUGGACGUUACUCGCAGAAUAAGCACCGGCUAACUCUGUGCCAGCAGCCGCGGUAAUACAGAGGGUGCGAGCGUUAAUCGGAUUUACUGGGCGUAAAGCGUGCGUAGGCGGCUUAUUAAGUCGGAUGUGAAAUCCCCGAGCUUAACUUGGGAAUUGCAUUCGAUACUGGUGAGCUAGAGUAUGGGAGAGGAUGGUAGAAUUCCAGGUGUAGCGGUGAGAUGCGUAGAGAUCUCGAGGAAUACCGAUGGCGAAGGCAGCCAUCUGGCCUAAUACUGACGCUGAGGUACGAAAGCAUGGGGGAGCAA